rnacentral:lncRNA from 10 species
UGCUAAUAAUAAUCCACUGAAUAAGUACUGAUUGUAAAGUAUUGGUACUACGUUAAUAUAAAACUCAGUGCUUAUGUUAAAAAAUUUCUUACUUUUCAAUCACGUAUGAAAAAUCAUGGUGAUGACAUCCUUUUUUACUAAAUCUACAAAAGACAAAACAUAAUGAAGUUGAAAUAUCAUUUCUUAAAUAUUUGCAAAAACAUUUAAUCAUUUAACUCAGUGAUUCUCAAACAGGAGAGUGUCAGAGAAUCAUCAUUUACUGAAUUAGAAUCUCUGGUUAGUGUGUAGCCUUAGCAUUUCUGUUUUUAAAACAUCAGUUUCAUAAAUGUUUCAGGAGAUACCAGAAUUUGAAAUCUACUGAUUUAUCUCUUAUAUUUGAUACAUGCUUAUUAAAAAUUAUAGCAGAUGCAGGGCUUGGGGAGAGGUUGCUCAAAAGAUAGACAAUUUCAAUUAGAUAGGAGGAGUAAGUUCCAGAGGUCUAUUGUACAACAUGGUGACUUUAGUUCAUGAUAUAUUGUAUUCUUGAAAAACGCAAAGAGAGUAGAUGUGAAGUGUUUUCUUACCACCAAAAUGAUAACUAUGUGAGGUAAGACAUAUGUUAACUAGCUAGAUUCAGUCAGUCCACAAUGUAUUUUAAAACAUCAUGUGGUACACACUAAAUACAUACAAUUUUAUCUGUCAAAUCAGAACAAAAACCAAAAACUCCCCAACACAGAAAGAAACAAGAGUUGGCAAGGAAGCAGAGAAAUUGGGACCCAUAUAUAUUGCUGGUGAUAAUGUAAAACAGUGCAGCUGCUAUGGAAAACAGCUCGGAGGUUCCUUAACAAGUUAAACAUAGGAUUACCAUACAACCUAGCAAUUCCACUCCUAGGUAGAUACCCACAAUAAUUCAAAACAGGUGUUCAAACAAACACUUGUACACAAAUAUUCAUAGCUGCACUAUUCACAAAAGCCAGAAGGUAGAAACAUCCCAAAUAUCCAUGAACUGCUGGAUGGAUAAACAAAAUGUGGUACAUCCAUUCAAUGGAAUAUUACUCAGCCGUAAAAGGGAAGGAAGGACUAAUACAUGCCUGUUGAACCUCAAAAGCAGACUUAGGUGAAUGCAGCUGGACACAAAAGGUCAUAUGUUGUAGGAUUCCAUUUAUGUGAAAUAUUCAGAGCAGGCAAAUCCAUAGAGAUUAUGGUUUUGAGACAGCAGAUUAUGGUUGCCAGGGGCUGGGGGAAAGGGAGAAUGGGAAAUGACUGCUAACUGGGUAAAGAGUUUCCUUUUGGGGUGACAAAAAUAUUGUGGAACUAGAUAGUGGUGCUAGCUGUACAACAUCGUGAAGGUACUUAAUUCCAUUGAAUUCUAUACUUUAGAAUGGUAAAUUUAUAUUAUGUGAAUUUCAUCACACUUUUUAAAAAGCUGCCAUGGUAAAACACACAUGCACACACAAAAAAACUCAUAGAAAAUCUAUCAAAAUGAAAACAAAUUUCUUUGGACUGUUUUAUUAGAUGUAAACUUCUUUUAAAUGCAAGAUUUCUAGUUGCUACUAUUGUGCAGGUAAGGAGUUAUUUUAAGGAUUAACAUAAUUUCUAGUUAGGGUUCAUAAGACAGAAGGCUAUAAUGAUCGUUGUAAUUAUAGGAGUUUUUAGUUAGGUAAAUUAUUCAUCUGACCAUUUUAGCUGGCUGCUUCCAGUGGAACUUAGAAAGAACCCUUGUCACCACCAUUUUUAGAUAGAUAUUGGAAGUCUAGACCAUCCCUCACCCUGAACACAAAUUGGACCCCAAGAGUUGACAACUCUCCUUCAUUGACAAGUCCCUGGCUCUCCAAAAGUAACUUGGACCCCAUGCUAUUCCAGGUCUCCCCUGGUGACUGUAAAAUCCAUAGGCCCACUGUAACUUGAGCCCAAGAUAUUAGAGUUUUUAGGGUUCCAGGGAAGUGGGUCAUUGACUAAGAGGCCCAGAGUAAGGUCCUAAAAUCCAUGUUUUCAAAACAUGUUCUCCAAGUGAUUCUGAUGAGUAACUGAGCUUGAUAGUUAUUAUUCGGACCCUUCUAGAAACAGACUGCUUCAAGCUGCUUUCCAUCUCACUUUAGAAGGAAAUCGGGCCUGAGAAGGCAUUCUGCAUGCAGCGGUACUGGGAACUGAUUUUGGUAACGUUUGCACCAGUUAUUCUCAAAUGUUAGUGCUCCUUGUAAUCUCCUGGAAAUUUUGUUAAAAUGCAGAUUUUGAUUCAGCAGGUGUGGGAUGAGGCCUGAGAAUCUACAUUUCUAACAAGUUCUCAGGUGAUGCCAGUGUUGGUCCAUAGGCCAUACUCUAAGGAGCAAAGAUGUAAAUCAUCCCUGAAAUAGGAUGAUACCGGCUAUAUAAAUCAACUAGCCUUUUUGCAUUUUCUGGGAAAGGAAUUACGGGUGCAAAGAUGUUAGGAAAUGCAAAUUUAGGAAAUGCUGAAUGAGAUGCAAAUACUUAAUUAUCAAUCCAGCAACUGAUUAUUACAACUCAGUAAUAAUUAAAAGAUUAUUAGAAUGACAGAGGAGUAGAUAUUUGUUUUGGAUGUCAGCAAGUAAUUUCAUAAAUACUCAGAUAAGAGUCAAUGUUCCCCGACUCUCACUCCCACUCCUAACUGAAGGAAAGGAAUCACAAUAAAUUUCUGUCUCUGUUAUACAUUUAGCCUCAGCUAAACAGAUUUGUGUAUGCUGCCUUUGAUUUUCUCCCAUGUAGAAGAAAGAGAGGUAUGGUGAAUGGAAGACACAGAGUCCAACGUGCUUCAUCAUGAACCAUAGUAGAACCGACAAAAUUCACACGUUGGGAUUCUCUAGGGCAAUCACUGUGGUUCUGCUAGGCUUGUUCUAAGAAAUUUCCCAUAGAAAAUGGUGCAGAAAACUGAGGCUUCUCUGAUAUGGGUGUAAGCAGUUCUCUGAUGGAAAUGAAAUUAUAACUGGUUUGAGAAGGAUGGAAAACUGGUAAGUGUUUCUCCCUCCUAUUUUUCUGGGAAUGAGCCGUAGACUGAAGAGUUGAGAGAGGCAACUGUGAAGGACAGAAACUGGCUUAUUAAAAGGGAAGGUAGAGAAAAAAUGCUAGUAAUAGAGAAAGAGGCUAAUUCUUUUUAUUUUUAGUAUGAUUCAAAUGUAGUAUUUAACUUGGCAAAAGUUUAAACCAAUUGAAUCUAGGCAUGAACGUCAAUUCAGUUUUGGAUUUCAUUGUGGAUGUGUCAGUCAUUAGGCUAUUAUCACUAGCAGUUAUCACUUAGUUUACCAUUUGUUUUAAAACUUAAAGAGUAACACAGGUCAAAUGGAAAUAUACUUACCCUUUAAUUGCAAUGAAUUUUUUAUCAUCACAGCCAACAGCUAUUUGGAACACCUAAAAUGAAGUAACUUAGGUAGUGAGUUCAGCAGUUCUGAUUCAUAUGAUCUAAAAUAUUACAGCUAAAACCAAUUGCAUUUUAGAUUUAAAAUAAUAACUUGUAAAAUGUAGGGUUCUCUUAUACCACUGCUCUGCACUGUUUUCUUCCUCUUUCCUUGAUCACUUUUUUUUUUCUUUCCUUCCUUUUGUCUUUACUGCUCAUGAGGCCCAAAAGUUGGGUCUCUCCUUUCUUACAUUUGUGUCUCAGGGAAUUGAUCCAAAUUCAUCUUUUUUUUUUUUUUUUUUGAGAUGAAGUCUUGUUCUGUCGCUCAGGCUGGAGUGCAGUGGUGCGAUCUCAGCUCACUGCAACCUACGCCACCCGAGUUCAAGCGAUUUUCCUGCCUCAGCCUCCCAAGUAGCUGGGAUUAUAGGCAUGCACCACCACGCCCAGCUAAUUUUGUAUUUUUAGUAGAGACAGGGUUUCACCAUGUUGGUCAGGCUGGUCUCAAAUUCCUGACCUCAUGUGAUCCACCUGCCUCUGCCUCCCAAAGUGCUGGGAUUACAGGUGGGAGCCACCACACCUGGCUCAAACUCAUCUUUUACCUGUUUCUCUACAACCAUGACUAUCAAAUCUCUACUUCCAGUUUGCACCUCUGACUCAGCUGGCAGGUUUCUAUAAUCUGUCCAGCUACUAAUCUGACUUGCUGUUUUCACUUUUGUAGACCAGUAAUUUCUCAGGGUACUGAGCAUCACGUGAAAUAGCAUCUUACUAUUGUUAUUCCUCCUUUAAGCAGCAAUACUCUAUUCAAAGGAGCACUGGUCACAGGCUAAUUAUUAACUAUUAAACCACUGUCCUCAUUUUAUGGAUAUUUAUUCUAAACAUUACUCAUAAUUGCUUUUUUAAAGAAAUGCACAUACGUGCUUUGUUUGAAAACAAAUGACCUGUGGAUCCUAUAGCUUUGUUAACACAGCCCACGCUUCUCUGUAGGUCAACUUUGGGAUACAGGGGAGAAAGGCAAAUGUAAAAUCAAACAAUGGCAUCAUAUAGCCAGGCUGUUCCAUGAUGCCUUGUUUCAUGGGCUGGAAAUGCCCAAGAAGGGCAUUUGAUAUGGAAAAGGCUAACUCUCAACCAAAUAAAAUCCCAUUAGAAUCUGAUGCAAUAAGUAUAUUGCAUCUAUCCCCAAAUGUACCUCUACCGUUAGUAGCAAUUUUUACCUUCUCUUUUUAACAGAUUCAAUACUUUUGCAGUAAGAACAGGGUAGAAUGAAUAUUACACACAAAAAUUAAAAUGGAAUUUCAUGGAACUUUGCUAAGAAGAUAGGUUAUAUCUGGUAGCUGGAAUGCAUUAUAUCUAAAGAUGAGACUAUUAGCUUCAUUAAAUCUCAGUUAUUAGGAAAACGAACUGUUGCAAAAUAUCUUACCCUGCUUGUAAUGCUUAGAUACAUGUUGCUUAAAAAUAAUAUACAGGUUCCAUGGAACUAAAAUACAAUUAAUUACUAUACAGAUAUUAAAGGAAGGCUUACAGAGAUAGUGAAAGUUAAAAAUAAAGUGGAUGAAUGCUUUAGCUUUAUCUAUAAGAACUGUCAGUUUUCCAGGCAGAGAGUCAUGGCUGCUUGUAACCAGGGUCCUGGUUCUCCCUCUGCUGGGAUACCUACUUCCAUUUCCACCUGGCUCCAGGACCCCUGACCUUCCAGCAGGCUGUCUCAACAGGGUCUACACACUUGCGUUCUGCCUUAUGCAUGUUGUUGGAUGUUGCACAUUUCCACAAAGCAAAUCUGGAAAAACUCUAAUACUCCCUACCGUAUAAGAAGGACUUAGGGGUCAGGAGGGUGGGGAUAGGACGAUGUCCAGCCAAGUUUGGUGGCCUUAAAGAGUUGAUGCUGCUAAACCAAGACCUUUUGGUCUUCAUUUCAAAGGCAUGCUUCACAGUGGGAGUGCAUAUUUUAUUUCCUGGACCACUUGACUUCAAGCACAGGGCCUGAUUUGUUCUCCCAACCACACUACCCACAGUCCUCACCAGCCACCAUCAUUAAAUCUUUGCUUUCCUGAUCAGAAUCAUUGGCCUGCCCUUUAUCUUUACUAAAUUAUCUAUAUAAGGGUUGACAAAGGUUCUCAAAUCUAUCAUAGUCAGGACCCACCAUCACUUGAUGAUCUCAUUUGCAAUGUUUCUUCUCUUCCUUGUCCUAGUUGAAAAAAAUCACCCCAAGCCUCAGGAUCAAGCACCAUGGCUAGGAUUAAAAAUAUGAGUUAACCUGUAGGUGGAUAUUGAAAAGGAGUUGCAGGUAUAGUGUGGGGAGCACAAAUAAUCCUGUUUCCUAGAGUACCCACUGCUGCAGGGCUGACACAUAUUCCCAGAACUGGACACCUAAUUAGAGAGAUUCUGACAUAUGGCCUAAAUGACAACACUUCUCCUUAGUGCAGAGACGGAGCCGGACAGCUCCUGCCUUAACCAAGAGUUGGACACAGCGUAUUUCUUCUAACCAGACAGAUUAACUGACCUGAGACAGGGAUUCUAAAGGCCCUCAACACAAAUGCUGUUAGAUAAUGCACUGCACAAAGCUGUAGUCACCCCUCCCAGGGAAAGUUCAUCUCGGAAGGAUUUACUAAGGCCCUCUGGGGGCUGGCCUACAUUUCUGCAUUUCCAGUUCUUGGUGCAUGGUUAAAAAGUGAGAUGCAGCCUUGUUGGAGCUGCCAGUUCUAUUUGCUGCUCUGCUGCAGGCUCUGAACACUAAAAGAUAAAGACAACAGGCUCCUAUUCAAAUAGUGCAGUCCAUGUCCCUUCGGUCCAGCAGGUUUAGCAAGGGCCUAACUUCACCCAGUGGGUCAGUCUGUAGGCCAUGGUUCUGUGUCUACACAGAGCUGGGUCCUAUGUCUCUACAAUAUUUAUCUGGGAGGCUGAUGGCUUGCUAAGCCAUGAGUGUGGGAGCACAAGGAAGGAACCUUGUGGUUGAAGGCAUACUUCACAGUUGUGUGCAUGUUUUGAUUUCCUUGGCUGAGUAGAGGACCUGCCUCUACACGGCCACAUUUCCUGUUGCCUGAAAGGGCUACCGCAUCUUUCCUCAUUCUAUUUCAGUGGGUAGGUCAGGACAAACUACCUGCAGUGGGCACAGAGGAUGGCUAGAUUUGUCCUGUCCUUGUCUGCAGGGUACCAAAGAGGAAACAGAAGGAAGAAACCAGUAUAUUAGAUAAUUACUAUGUAAUAGGCAUUGCUUUGGGUACUUUACAUGAAUAAUCUCAUUUAAUACUCUCAACAACCCCAUAAGAUAGAUGGUACAUUUUCCCUUUUACAAAUGAGGCAGCUGAGGCUCAGAGUAAGUAGCCUACCCAAGCCAGUGGAUGGUAGAAUGUGGAUCUGAACUCAGGUUAGAUGAACCUGAUUUUGUAAUGCCUUGGCUGGGCAGGAUAGAAUGAAUAGGGAUCCCUAAAAAAUUCUAUAGAUUAGAGAGGGCUGGAGGAAACCACGGUGCUUCGGGAAGGCAUCCAUAAAGGAAGAGGGUAAAAGCAGUUAAAGACAGAAACUGCAGACCUAGGCUAGGCCAGGACCUUCCUAGGUUGUGGUUUCUUAUUUCCUACGUGGAUUAAGCUGGCAUGUGGUAGGCAGACAGGGGAGUUGUUGGUGUGCACCUGCAGGCGAUUUCCUGGGGAAGCAGCGUGUGUCUGCAGUGCUCAAGGAUGGAUCACGUCUGCCUCAGUUCAAGGCUCCCUCUAAAUGUAUGGAACCUUGCCCUGGUAGGAACGCAGGUUCCUCAUGCUUGGGUUCUGAAUGGGAGGGGCCAGGUCCUAUUUCGCUUUGUAUUCCCCAUAUAUAACACAAUGCCUGGUAUAUAGUAGGUGCUCCAUAUAUGUUUACUGAAUGUUAGGCUGAGAAGUAAUAGAGAGAGGAGACGUGUGAAAUAUAGACUCAAAGGAGGCGGGGUUAAGAAUUUAUGUUGAAUUUCACAAUACUAUAAUAUAAUAUAUAAUAUAGUAAUAAUACUGUUCAGUUACCUGAACACCCUGAUACUAUUUCAUCCCUCCAUGCCUUUUCCUGGAAUGUUUUUGCACCUGCCUGCUGAACUUCUACCUAUUCAUCACUGGUCGUUUUGUGUAUCCCUUUCUUUUCACCUUUCCCCUCCCAGUCUCAGUAAACUUCCUUAGUUUACUUUCCUCUGGGCUGUUUGAGAACUGUGUAUACCAUUUUCCAUAAUAAAAUGUUGCAAAAUUAAGCUAGUUUACGUUUACCUCUAGGGAAGGUACCCUGUCUUUUUAUUUUUGCAACUCCCAUUACCGAGCACACAGACUGACACACAGAAACAGAGUAGGCAUACAAUAAACUUUUUUAAAUGAAUAAAUGAUUUUUUCUUUGUUUUUUUAUUAAAUUAUGAAUAAACGAUUGUUUUGAAGAAAUAAGUGCAGAAUAAAUAUGGAACUUGCUAAGUAAUAGGAGGAUGGUACUCUAUGGAGGUAUUGUAUGGAGGUAUUGCAUGGAGGUAUUGUACGGAGGUAUUGUAUGCAUUAUUUGGUUGACCGCCUAUACAUUCUUGAAGUGAAAUAUUUGGGUCUUCAGCCCAUGUCGCUUACCUUUUGGGCUAUUGGACAUGCUUUUGAAUAUUCACUAGGUCGAAACUGAACCAGCACAAGACCCGUGUGCUUGUCUCUAGGAGAAACAAUUCGUACAGGUUAUUGUAUCAUGUGAGAGACAGGCAUGACACUGUCUUUCUGUAGAGCAAGUGCAAAGUCCCAUGUGCACGGUGUGAUUGACCUCCCACGCCAAUUUCUAGAGGCCUGGAGGAUGGUGCUGCUGGUAACAGCUCUCUGCUUCUGCUAAGACAGCUCUGCAUGCUAGUCCUAUUGUAAAGUUGCUCCCACCUCAUCGUAUCCCAUGUUUUGGCCACCAUAGGGUUAAUGCGAUGGGAAGCAGAAAUGAGCAUCCUACCAGCAUUUCAACCACCCUAUUUCAUUCACACAGUCCCUGGGCAAUGGGGCUCUGCUGCAGACAUCUCGACCUGAAGGUGGCAGCCACUGUGUGGGUUCCUCCUCUGGCUCCUACCCGUUUUCCCCUCGUAUUGAUAGCACCUUUGGACAAUAAAGAGUGAGUUGUAAAAUUAGUUUUCUGAGCCACAUUAAAUGGUCUAAUAUGAUCUGACUGGGAUUGAAAGCUAGGUCAGAUAGAAUGCCUUUCUCCACUAUGAAGUGCACAAGAAUCAUUUUGUGUUCAGGCAAAACGUGAGGGCUAAAAAAUAAUAGAAGAAAACGUGAAAGUUUGAUUUAUACCUACACCUGCUAAGGUUUUUUUUGUCAAAAAAAAAUGAGGACAAACAAACAUAAAAAGUGUCCUUGGCAAUUUUACGUGUAUUCUAUAGCAAUGUAAAUCUUAGUAAAUAUCCACAAAACCAUAAAUAUCCAAAGGAACCUAGACCAUUAGGAGCAUAAAGAGAUAAGUUGGUGGGUGAAAGGGAAAGAAAGGAAUUCAGCCUCUCCUGGGUAUGGAGUCGAAAGCAGCAUUUCUCCCUACUCUUCCUGAUCAGUCUCUGUCACUGAUUUAUAUAUAUAUAUAUAUAUAUAUAUAUAUAUAUAUAUAUAUAUAUAUAUAUAUAUAUAUAUAUAUAUCAAAUUCUGUUUUCUUCAUAGCACUUACCAGUAUUUGAAAUUACUUAUUUGAUGAUUGGCUGUUUUCUCACUGGAGAAUGGGUUCCAUGACACUAGAACUUCAUCUUUCUCAUUUACCCUGUAUUUUAAAUACCUAGAAAGUGCUUGGCAUAGAGCAGGUAGUCAAACUCACUUGGAGUAGCACCAGACUAAAGAAAAAUGGAUUCUUCCUGCGGGUGCAGUGGCUCAUGCCUGUAAUCCCAGCACUCUGGGGAGCCAAGGUGGGCGGAUCACCUGAGGUUGGGAGUUCGAGACCAGCCUGACCAACAUGGAGAAACUAUGUCUCUACUAAAAAUACAAAAUUAGCCGGCCGUGGUGGCGCAUGCCUGUAAUCCCAGCUACUCGGGAGGCUGAGGCAGGAGAAUCACUUGAACCUGCGAGGUGGAGGUUGCAGUGAGCCGAGAUCAUGCCAUUACACUCUAGCCUGGGUGACAGAGUGAGACUCCAUCUUAAAAAAAAAAAAAGAAAAAGAAAAAAGAAAAAUUGAUUUUUCCUAGGGAAAAUAUGCUAUUUUUCCAAGAAAAUACUUCCAGGCUGUAAUGAUAGCCAUAGGAAUGCCUUCACACAGAAUUCCAUGUUGGUUGUCUUCCUCCAGGUAGCCUAGCUGCUACCUUACUGCAGUAGUCAAAGACAGCAUUUUAUCUGGCUCUAUGCAUAAAGAGUUUCUGUGAUAUCAGAGUUCUUAUUUAUGCUAGUGAUGGUAUGUAGAAACUUUGAGAUGGGAACUAGUGAUAAAAUGUGCUUGAAAAUUAUUCAACUAAGAAACAGCCCUUUUUUUGCAUCUUCAUUUGGAUGAAUGAGAAAUUCAGAUAGGUCAUGUUUCUUAUUCAACUACAAGGAGUAUUUUACAUUUUAUACAGCUAAAUAUUAAUUUUACAUCUAUCCAGACAUUGAAAGGAAUCUGAAAUUUGAAUAUUUAAAAGAAUAUGAGGCCAUUUAAAUAAAAGAACACCCACAAAUCAAUAACCUGAGUAGCAUAUUUGAUACUGAGAAAGUUCUUUUAAAAGUUAUACUUACUGUGUCUCAAAGUAAUCAGAUAUUCUCUCAUAAUCUACAUUCUGAUAAAAUGUUAGUGUCUGAAAAAAGAAAAUUUAAAAUUUAUGUAAAGCAGGGAAAUUGGGGGUGGUGAUCCCACUUUAGUAGCAUAUGGCUUUCUACAUCUAGGCAUGUAAAAUGCCUUCAUUAGGGUAUGUAAUGAUGUUCAUCACGUGUAAGUAAUCAACAAGAUUGACUGGUGGAUAGACAGGUGCAUAGAUACGUAAUAAAGCAAGUACGCAAAUAUAAUAAAAUAUUAAUGUACAUAGUGGGUAUAGAUAUAGAGCUGUUAAAUGUAAAAUUCUUUCAACUUUUCUGUAUGUUUGACAUUUUCCAUAAUAAAAUGUUGCAAAAUUAUAAUAUAAAUUGAAUUCAUAGCCUCACCAAGAAUCUCACAUAAAAGUAAUUCUACCUGACAGAAAUGUUUAUAUGUGCUUUUCAGGAGGUAUAUACUAAAAUAUUCAUUGUAACAUUAUUCAGAAUAGCCUCCAAAUAGAAACAGACCAAUGUUCAUCAACAGUAAAAUGCCUAAGGAUAUCUUGUAGUACAUUCAUACAGAGUGACACAAUAUAUCAGUGAGUAUGAAUGAAUGACAGCUACAGAAAACAACAUGGACUUUCAUAAGCGUCAUAUUCAAAGACAAAAGCAAGACAAAAAUACAAUAUAUGUAGAUGUUUAUGGAUGGAUGUGUGUAUAUAAUAUACAUGCAAUGAUUCCCUUCAUAUGAAGUUCAAAAAUAGACAAAGCUUAGCUAUAUUACUUAGUGAUGCAUAUGUAGGUUGUGAAACUAUUAAGAAAAGUGAGGAAAUUAUUAUUAUUAUUAUUAUUAUUAUUUGAGAUGGAGUUUCACUCUUGUCGCCCAGGCUGAAGUGCAAUGGCGCAAUCUUGGCUCACUACAACCUCCACCUCCCAGGUUCAAGCGAUUCUCCUGUCUCAGCCUCCCGAGUAGCUGGGAUUACAGGUACCUGCCACCACAUCCAGCCAAUUUUUGUAUUUUUAGUAGAGACGGGGUUUCACCAUGUUGGUCAGGCUGGUCUUGAACUCCCGACCUCAGGCGAUCCACCUGCCUCGGCCUCCCAGAGUGCUGGGAUUCAGGUGUGAGCCACUAUGCCUGGCCGAAAAGUAAGGAAAUUAUUACCACAAAAGUCAGACUAAUGUUUAACCUGGAAAAGGAGACAAUUCUGAUCAGGGAAAACACAGGAGGGCUUUGGGUACUUCUGAUGUUAUAUUUUUUUGACGUGAAUGGUGAUUACGUGGGUGUUUGGUUUACAAUAAUUUGCUAAAUUAUGCAUAAAUGUUUUAUUUACUUUUCUAUGUGGGUGUUAUAUUCAUUUUUAAAAAACAAAUGAUUAGCUAUGAUGCUUAGCAUCAUACUAGCCAAUAAUUAGUCCGUGAAGUUACAGUGACCCAGCCUGCAUUAUAUAAGCAAGGUGCUUUCAUAAUAUACUAUUGUACUUCAUUGAGCCUCAAUUCCUAUAGGAUGUAAGACUCAUCCUGAUUUCAGAGAUGUUAAAUGUUAAGAAAAAAGUGCCCUAUCGAAGAGAUCACUUGAGGUUAGGAGUUCAAGACCAGCUUGGCCAA